rnacentral:rRNA from 1 species
CUACGGGCGGCAGCAGUCGCGGAACUUUUACAAUGCACGCAAGUGUGAUAAAGCAAGCCAAAGUGUUUUUCGUAUAGAAAAACUUUUUCUUAGUGUAAAAACCUAGGAGAAUAAGGACUGGGAAAGACUGGUGCCAGCCGCCGCGGUAAUACCAGCAGUUCAAGUUGCAUCCCUUUUUAUUGGGUCUAAAGCAUCCGUAGCUUGCCGUUUAAGUCUCUUGUGAAAUCCUACGUCUCAAGCGUGGGGCUUGCAGGAGAUACUGGACGGCUAGAGAUCGGUAGACGUAAGGAGUACGCCGGGGGUAAUGGUAAAAUAUGUUAAUCCUCGGUGGACUAACAAUCAGCGAAGGCACCUUACGAGGACGAAUCUGACAGUGAGGGAUGAAGGCCAGGGGCGCAAAACGGAUUAGAUACCCCAGUAGUC